GGAAGUAACCAAAAAAUCGCUUUGAAAGAAUAAAAUUCUCCAUCAAUCUCUCUAAAUCCUCCCACUCUACAAACCGGCCACUGCUAUUUCUUUUCCCUUUCUCGGUGACUCAUCCCAACCUCUUCGCUUUGUGUGUGCUGGAAACCAAGAAUUGUUUGAAUAUCAAGAAGGAUGGUGCUAAGAAGAGCGAAAUAAGCUUCAAAAGGGUGAAAUCAACCAUAGAACCUUAAUGUAUUGACUUCAAAAUCAAAUUCAGAUGCAUCUAGGAGACAGCCUAGGAUUUCUCUCUACACCCAACCAUCUGUUAUUGGCCGCCACUAAGCUCCCUAGAAUCGAUUUUCUCUAUGGCGUCCGCCUUUUCAAUCUCCCGACCUAGAACAUGCCAAAUAAAGCUAAAAUGGUUUUUCUUUUGCUAUUAGGUGUGCAGGUUGAGGUCUCGCUGGUUAUCCAUCUACGAUCUCUUACGGGUUGUAGUUCUUGUGGGGAACUCAUUGACUGGGCAAACCAAAUGGAUUUGACCUAUAUUCUCUUUGAUUCCAGAUAAAGUUUUUUUUACCUAGCUUCUCUUUUAUUUCAAACCCAAAAUGGAAUUUUUGUGCAAGAUCACAUCUGAUACUGUUUGGUUUGAUGUGCAGGUUUUGUUCCAAAUGUACGCACGCACAAAAAACACACCAUUCACCAUGUCAGUUUUCCUUCCUCUAAAAGAACCAUUUAGAAAUGUGAUCUCUGGUUCAGGAACUGAAUCUUAUGUUUUUUUGGAGGCUCCUCAUCUUGUCGAUGAUUACUACUUGAAUUUGUUGGAUUGGGGAAGUGGCAAUAGCUCUAGGGAGCAUAAUGUAUCUUUGGGAUGAUAUUGAUGGUAAUACCUCAAAACUCAUGUCACAAGUUUCAAAUGGGUAUUUGUAGGCUUAAACUCGAACCUAUGAUAUGGAGAUACGAAUGAUGGAGAUGGAAUGUUACUGCAUAUUUUGUUGGUCUGUUGGACCUCUGACCCACGAAACAACAACGGCUUGAUUGGGAUGUUGGCCUCAAGCGACUAAGGUAACGUAUAUGGUUCCUCUUCUAUUAAUUUGUCUACAUUUUUUUGCUUUAAUUUGUUUCAGUAGAUCCAACCGUAAGUGAUGUCAACGUGGUUUGCUUUAUUUUGAUUUUGUUGUGAUAAUGUUGAUGUGUAUGAUUUUCUACCAUUAGGAUAUUCUGUUUCUUAACCUGCCAUAGUUGUGCCUUUACAUGGUAUUCAAAAACUAACACUUUGAUGCCCAUCUCUUCUAGUCGGAGAUGAAUCUCAGCAAAGAACGAUUACCCUGACUAUUCGGUAAGAUUUAUUUGUAUUUACUUAUAAUUUGAUUUUUUAGAAGGGUGGUUUUUUAGGGUUAUCACUGAACGAUGGUGGCUAAAAGAGGUUAAAAUCAGAAAUUAUGUGUUAAAAGGUAAUAGCCUGCUCUUUGUUCUUUGUUCUGGAGAUUUUAAUUCCUUUUUAUUUUGAUUCUUCAUUUGUUUUAUUAUUUGAUUUCAUCUGUGGCAUUUGCUACAAAGAAAAUCACCCAUUUUUUCUUGAGUUUGUCGUUAUAUCAGUAGUCGGUUGUGUUUUAGGUUAGUAUUUGAAUCAGUAUCCCUUGCUUUUAGGAAUUGAAUCGUAUCCUCUUUUUUCAACAAUUGAAUGGCACUAUCAGCAAUUGAAUUAGUCAACAGAAGAUACACUUUAUAUAAAUUGCAUCUCUUCUGUCAGCCGAUUAAAACCCUAAAAUGUUGAACUCUCUCAAUCGGCGACCAAUGCCUACCCGUAGAAGAUGUAGAUGACGACCAGGCAAAUAUUUAUAGAUUACACCUGCCUUCACUCAUAUCUCGCCCAUACACCUCUUGGGGCAACUGAUUGCACAACAAGAGAUAUACAAUCGAGUUGCUUCAGGUCAAACACGAUCCAACGCCACAGUCAAUCAGCCAUCUCUCUCACAACCACCGUUUCCCGUCACUGCCAAGACCUAUGCAUGUUUGAUAACAUGAAAUCUACCUAAAAGAAUCCACCUUGAUCUCUUUAUCGCCUAAUCGGUUGUUUUUUCAAUUAAACAUAUGUUAUGCUGCUUUUUAGUUAUAAGAUAAUUGUUUGUGUUAUUAUUUUUGUCGUUGUGAUGAAAAUUUUGGAGCUAUGGAGAAAUCGGAGGGAUGAUUUAUAGAUUCCAGUGAGUCUGAUGUGUGUUUUAAAGCAAAGUAGGUUCACGAGUUCUGAUUUCUUUUUCUUUUUUUGUUGCAGGUUACUAGGUAAAAGUUUAGUAUUUUUUUAAUGUUAUUAGCAAAGCCCCUUUUGGUGUCGUAUCACCUCGACCAUUCCCGUCGUCUUCCUACUUGCUAUAUUGUUUGUUCCUGUUAGGGCGGAACAGGAAACGAGUAAGUAAAGAACUAUCGAGAGAGCGAGAGAUCGAGGCUAAGGGGAGGAGGCGUAAAAGCAACGAGAGAGUUUUGGUGCUUGAUUUAGGUCCAUCUCCUGUUUACAAGUCCGAGUGUCCGAAAUCAGGGUAGAUGUCUAUGUAGUAUGCAAAGCAGGUGUUAAAUGUCAGCACAUAUCUAAUUCCAAGUUGAAGUUUUCGAAAAUGAGCAGGUUUCUGAUUCCAAGUAGGUAUUGUAAAACAUUUCGAUUCAAAUUAAGGUUAUUCUGUAAACAUUCGCUGAUUUUGCUAUUUUUAACCAUUUUGUUGUUUGAUUUUUCAAUCCCAGUACGGUUUAGAGACCUAAAAAUUCACUCCCUCUUCUACAUUUUCAGUUACAGGCGAGUAUGACCUCCUUUUCUAGGUUUUAUUUAGAUUUUUAAGCGACCAUCCUUCGUUAUGUUCUUUAUUACAUAAAUGUUUUAAUUUUGAAGGGUUUAGUUGCAUAGAGAAAUAGAACAGGAGUAUUGAUGUUCGAAGCACAUGGUUAUCUUUGCUUAUAAUGUUGUCAAGCUAGGAAAUAGUAGCUAAAAAUGAGAUUUAUGGUCGAGUCUUUAAAGGUCAUCCUUCAAUCUGGGUCAAAGUGAAACAUAUCAUAGUUGUGAAUGGAAAGCUGUUGAUGGGCAAAAUUGGCAGAAACAAGUAUGGAAGCGGGCUUUUGACAUACAUUUUUCUUAAUUUUCUCGUGUUUUGUGCUUGGAUUUAACCCUCUUUCAGUCUUUCUUGUGUUUGGUUAUUAUUGUCAAGAAAAUAUACAUGGACUUGAAGGUGUACUCUGGAUACUAUUUUUGCUACUGAUGAAAGUGUAUUUUUGACAUACAUUUUUUCUAAUAUGCCUAUGUUUUGUUCAUACAUAUAGUUGAAUAUCACAAAUCAGUUAUUUGAUGUUUCAUCCCUUUGGAAGUGAAAUAUCAAUAUUUGUUAAGUUGUAUGAUUAUUGUUGUAGUUUUCUUAUUUCCAUCGUUAAUGUUUAAUACACUUGAAAUCUUGAAUCUUGAUAGGCUACAUGUGAGAAUCUGACUAGAAAGUGAAGAAUUAUGAUGAUCCGAGGGUUCUUCUAUUGAAUUCUUGAAGUAUGUACAUUUCUUACACUUACACACACUAAAACUGGAGCUUUUACUUCAUCACAGGCUGCUUUCUAUCACCUUUUUGUUUUGAUUACCUUUUUUAUAUUUAGUUGUUAGGGGUUUAUUUAUUGUUCAAAUGCAAAUAACAAAAAACUAUUAAGUUGUUUUUUUUUAUUCCGGUUGAAGUAUUGGUGCCUCACGAAAGCAAAUUGUUAUUUACAGGUAAGUACAUGGAGGGACGGAGGAUUGAGACAGUUUGCUUCUAUUUGAUAAUCAUUCAGUUUAUUCCCAUAUAUGGUUCAUUCUUGAAUAAUAUUCUUGGUUUUAUUGGAUCCAUAUCUUAAUUAUGCAGUAUAGUUAAUGUUGCAUUGCAUAAGCUCUGUUAUGAUUGAUUCUUAAUAAUUGGGUGAAGUUGUUAUGAUUAGAA